rnacentral:rRNA from 1 species
AUUGAACGCUGGCGGCAGGCCUAACACAUGCAAGUCGAGCGAGCGGCGGACGGGUGAGUAAUGUAUGGGGACUGCCCGAUAGCGGGGGAUAACUACUGGACACGGUGGCUACUACCGCAUACUAUCCUUUAACCCAUAGGGGUUUAGCUAGUAGGUGGGGUAAAGGCGCACGUAGGCGACGAGCUCUAGCUGGUCUGAGAGGAUGAUCAGCCACACUGGGACUGAGACACGGCCCAGACUCCUACGGAGGCAGCAGUGGGGAAUAUUGCACAAUGGGCGCAAGCCUGAUGCAGCCAUGCCGCGUGUAUGAAGAAGGCCUUAGGGUGGUAAAGUACUGUCAGUCGGGAGGCGUUACCGACAGAAGAAGCACCGGCUAACUCCGUGCCAGCAGCCGCGGUAAUUC